rnacentral:tRNA from 1 species
GCGGACGUGGCGAAACUGGUAGACGCAAGGGACUUAAAAUCCUUCCAGUGUCGGUUCGAGUCCGACCCCGGGCACCA